CGCGUAGGCGGUUUGCACAGUUGGGCGUGAAAUUCCUGGGCUUAACCUGGGGGCUGCGUUUGAUACGUGCGGGCUAGAGUGGGGAAGAGGGUCGUGGAAUUCCCAGUGUAGAGGUGAAAUUCGUAGAUAUUGGGAAGAACACCGGUGGCGAAGGCGGCGACCUGGUCCUUGACUGACGCUGAGGCGCGAAAGCGUGGGGAGCAAACAGGAUUAGAUACCCUGGUAGUCCACGCUGUAAACGAUGUGUGCUGGAUGUUGGGGGGCAUAGCCCUUCAGUGUCGAAGCUAACGCGCUAAGCACACCGCCUGGGGAGUACGGCCGCAAGGUUGAA
rnacentral:rRNA from 1 species